GAUGAACGCUGGCGGCGUGCCUAAUACAUGCAAGUCGAACGCUUCACUUCGGUGAAGAGUGGCGAACGGGUGAGUAAUACAUAAGUAACCUGGCAUCUACAGGGGGAUAACUGAUGGAAACGUCAGCUAAGACCGCAUAGGUGUAGAGAUCGCAUGAACUCUAUAUGAAAAGUGCUACGGGACUGGUAGAUGAUGGACUUAUGGCGCAUUAGCUUGUUGGUAGGGUAACGGCCUACCAAGGCGACGAUGCGUAGCCGACCUGAGAGGGUGACCGGCCACACUGGGACUGAGACACGGCCCAGACUCCUACGGGAGGCAGCAGUAGGGAAUUUUCGGCAAUGGGGGAAACCCUGACCGAGCAACGCCGCGUGAAGGAAGAAGUAAUUCGUUAUGUAAACUUCUGUCAUAGAGGAAGAACGGUGGAUAUAGGGAAUGAUAUCCAAGUGACGAUACU
rnacentral:rRNA from 1 species